rnacentral:misc_RNA from 1 species
GAUGAAGAAUGUAGCGAAAUGCGAUAAGUAAUGUGAAUUGCAGAAUUCAGUGAAUCAUCGAAUCUUUGAACGCACAUUGCGCCCGCCAGUAUUCUGGCGGGCAUGCCUGUUCGAGCGUCAUUUCAACCCUCAAGCCCAGCUUGGUGUUGGGGAUCGGCACAGGCGCCCUCGGGCGCCCGCCGUCCCCUAAAUCUAGUGGCGGUCCCGCUGCAGCCUCCUCUGCGUAGUAGUUUUCUCCUCGCAAGGGCAGCUCGGUGGCGACCUCGCCGUAAAACCCCCAACUUCUGAAAGGUUGACCUCGAAUCAGGUAGGAAUACCCGCUGAACUUAAGCAUAUCAAUAAGCGGAGGA